rnacentral:rRNA from 1 species
CAACAGGGAUUGCCCUAGUAACGGCGAGUGAAGCGGCAACAGCUCAAAUUUGAAAUCUGGCCUCGGCCCGAGUUGUAAUUUGCAGAGGAUGUUUCUGGCGCGGUGCCUUCCGAGUUCCCUGGAACGGGACGCCACAGAGGGUGAGAGCCCCGUAUGGUUGGACACCAAGCCUGUGUGAAACUCCUUCGACGAGUCGAGUAGUUUGGGAAUGCUGCUCUAAAUGGGAGGUAAAUCUCUUCUAAAGCUAAAUACCGGCCAGAGACCGAUAGCGCACAAGUAGAGUGAUCGAAAGAUGAAAAGCACCUUGAAAAGGGGGUUAAACAGUACGUGAAAUUGUUGAAAGGGAAGCGCUCAUGACCAGACUUGUGCCGGGCGGUUCAUCCGGGGUUCUCCCCGGUGCACUCCGCCCGGUUCAGGCCAGCAUCGGUUCUCGUUGGGGGAUAAGAACGGUAGGAACGUGGCCCUCCCUCGGGAGGGUGUUAUAGCCUGCCGUACGAUACCCUGAUGGGGACCGAGGUUCGCGCUCCGCAAGGAUGCUGGCGUAAUGGUCAUCAGCGACCCGUCUUGAAACACGGACCAAGGAGUCGUCCAUUAGAGCGAGCGUUUGGGUGUAAAACCCGCACGCGUAAUGAAAGUGAAAUUAGGUGAGAGCUUCGGCGCAUCAUCGACCGAUCCUGAUGUUCUCGGAUGGAUUUGAGUAAGAGUUUUAACGGACGGACCCGAAAGACAGUGAACUAUGCUUGUAUAGGGUGAAGCCAGAGGAAACUCUGGUGGAGGCUCGCAGCGGUUCUGACGUGCAAAUCGAUCGUCAAAUAUGAGCAUGGGGGCGAAAGACUAAUCGAACUGUCUAGUA